CACCUACUUCCUCCUGUGCAGGGAGAAUCCCCAGCUGAUGCGUCAGAGCAGGGGGGGUCAGGUUUGUCAGGGAGGCUUACGGUUGUUAUUGAGGAAGAGAUCCAGUUGCAGCAGACAGCUGGGUGCUGACACAGACAGACAGAAACAGCUCCUAAUACACUGAGAUACACUUUAAAGUGCCACAGAUCUACCAUUCUGAGAGAGAUGGUGUGAUUGAUCAUCAAUGCAUGCCGGUACGUGGUGCUGAAGAUCCGGGCUGCAGGAAAAGGCGAGGCACAGACGGAGAAAAGCAGCACCACAUGCAGCCAGGCUAAAGGACAAAUGGACAGCAGGAUUAGUCAGGAUGGAUCUGCCUUGAUCCCCAACCCGACACAGAGUGUGGAGGUCCUGCAGAAGGAAGAGUGUGGAUCCUGAAUGUAAACCCAGAGCCGGAGUGUAGUGUGGACGGACUAUAAGGAAGAGACAAACAAAUACACAACACAGAAACACACACAGUGAAACAAACACAUCCUGGUAGAUGUUCUUCUUCUACUUGGCUCUUCUCAAAUAUAAUGAAAUGACACAUUGCUGAUUUCUUGACAGAACCAUUCAUAAAAAAACAUGACACAUAAACUCUGACCUUCAUUGAACUCCCACUGCUUCCAGCUCUAGGUUUACUUUCCCACUCGUCCUUCAUCCAGUGGAGAGAGCAGUCUGAGUUGGCAGAGAGAAUGAAAGCCUGAUCACCAAUUCCCCCAACAGAGGAACGGAUCAGUCCGGAAAAAUAUUAAAGACUCUGCUGAUAAAGCUGCACCAAGUCAAUGAAUUCAUGUAUUUAUUGGCCUUUUUCCCUGUAACUGUAACACUUUUCAGUAAAAAAGAGCAAUAUUCGUGAUUUA